rnacentral:lncRNA from 1 species
CUCCGGUCACUCUCUCUGGCCCUCUCCCUCCCUGGGGGCAGCUGCUCUCAGCCCUCCCUGCCCCCACAUCGCCAUCCUGCCUGUCCUUCUGGGCCUGCACGUUUGUUGUGUUUGGAAGGAGCCACCAAGGAGGAGGAUGUCAAUGUGCAAGUUCUCAGGGAAGCAGGCCCCGCAGCCUCCGUCAGUGUCUUCCGUCCGCAGGAAGAACCCAGGCCUGGGUGAUUCAUCGGGGCCUCAGGGCCGGGAGGCACUAAAUCUUCUGCAGAUGUGGUGGUGUGGGCUGUGUGGAUUUCGGAUGUGGGCCCAUAACAUAGCCACACUGCUGCAAAGCAAGUGAGUCUGAGGCAAGAAGAAGGCCCAACCUUGGGAGGCUGACCUGGAGGGCAGGCAGAGGCAGGUGGUAAGGACCUGCCUUACCUGUUGAGGUGACAGUGGGGGACAUAUUGCAAGGAAGGAGGCCCUGGAUCCUCAGGAUGUGGAUGGUGGGUAGAAGGGUGACAGCUAAUGGAUGUCCACCUGCACAGAUGCCCACCUGCAUGAGUGCCCACCUGCAUGAGUGCCCACUUGUACCAAUGUCCACCUGUACAGAUGUCCACAUGCAAAUGCCCAUCUGCACUGAUAUCCACCUGCACAGAUGCCUACCUGCAUGAAUACCCACUUGCCUGAAAGCCCACCUGCACCCAUGUCCACUGGCACAAAUGCCCACCUGCACCCGUGUCCACUGGCACAAAUGCCCACCUGCACAGAAGCCCACCCACACAAAUGCCCACCUGCAAAAAUGUCCGCCUGCACAGAUGUCCACCUGCAUGAAUGCCCACCUGUGUCCACAUGCACGAAUACCCACCUGCACAGAUGCCCACCUGCACGGAUGCCCACCUGUACAAAGGCCUACCUGCGUGAAUGUCCACCUGCAUGGAUGCCCACCCGCACGGAUGCCCACCUGCACAGUUAUCCAUCUGAACAGCCCUCUGGUGCCUCCUUUUGCUUGCACAUGUUCAAAUCCUCCCAGUCCUACAGUCGAUUGUUCCUAGUUGGGGUCAUUCUGGGCAUGUUAUUCUAAAACUUGUUUUUUCCCGUCUCCACAUCAAAGGAGAAAGGUCUAGCUUGCUUCUUUGCUAUAGAGCAGGGCCUGAGUGAGGUCAGGACCACAGAGCAGACCCUAUGAGUGUUGGUCAGGACACAGAGCAGGACCCCUUCAGGGUCUGGAAGAGGGUUCCCCAAGCUCCUGUUCAACCUGAGUGAGAGGCUCAGGCUGCCCCCAACACACUGCACAGAAAAAUGGGCCAUUGAUUCAGAGCCACCCACGCUAACAGCAGUUCAGCUGCAGCCCUCCGGCAGGCAGGUCCUGGGAACACUAGGAACCUGAGACCCUGUCCCUUCCUGAUAGCGGGGUGUGGUGACAUGAGGAGAGACUGGGUACCUCCAUUCUGCUCAUGAAAGUCACAGAGGGGACCGGGGACCCCAGGCCCCUAGCGAUACCAGCACCCCACACAAUGCCUUUCUGGGAUACACCCCCCCAACAUGGCCUGCCCAAGGCAUCAGGAGCUGUGUAGAGGAGUCAGCUGGGGGUGGCAGAGCCCCAGGGAACAAUCAUGGGUCGCUGGCAGAUAAGCCAUGCGCCCACACAGCACAGGCCCUCACCCCUGCAGCUGGGGGAGCCCUCCUUGGGAGCGGGCCCAGGAUCCGGGCAAAAUGACACAGACCGGAUCCAGGAGCAGACUGAGCAAAAGUGGCAAAAGUAUUCUCCAGGUUAAGGGAAUAUUUUCACCAAUUGAGAGACCAGCUGUCCCUCCAGACCCAAGGGUUCCACAUCCCUGGAGGCAACCAAGCCAGAUGCAAAAUAUUUGAAAAAGAAAAAUGAAAAAAAGAACAAUACAGCAAUAAAAA